GCCAUAACUUUCGCAUACGAACUCCGAUUUUGACGUUCCAUAUAUCAAAAUCGAUCAGAAAUUUUUUUUGGGUCUGUCUAUGCCCGCCUUUGGCGGGUUCGACAAAUUUAGAAUCCCCAAAUUCGCCUCUGAAGUUUGAGUGUUCGCCUCCUAAAAUUUUCUUUAUAUUUUUCGCAAUCUUCAAAAGUUUCCACAGGCCACGUCUUUCUCUUGUUCAAGCUUAAAUACCCUGUGGUUACUUCUUGAGUGCUCCUAAGUAAAAGAAAAAUAUCAAAAAAAAAAUAAAAAGAAUUGCAGGUUUCGAACCGUGUUGUUCGCAAGCUGCAUUGAUUUGUGUCUCUUUUCCACCAAAUCGAUAGUUACCAGAAACUUUCGCAAGAUCGGGCCACACUUAUUCUCCAUAAGUGGUAAUCAAAGCUUCAGACAUAACGUUAGGUUCACAUCUACCUUCAGUUUCGAGUGUCCUUGUGUUCGUCCCAUAAGUCUGGUGCCAUAUUGUUUUCAUGUCCUACAAUCCAUCCGCGCCAUAGCCUUUGCAUAUUUCAGUUUCAGAGUCCGUAGUGUUGAGUUUGUGUCCUGGUCGAGGUCUUGUUACUGGUUAAGUCUUGUUAGAGUCCAAUUUGUGUGUUUCUUCCCACCGUUUCCAUCAAUUUAUAGCCACCGCCACAAAUUUUCCCACUUCCGGACUGUUUUGUCCUCAAAUUCGGAGUCCGUUCGUAAAACAGCCAUAACUUUCGUAUACGAACUCCGAUUUUGGCGUUCUAUAUAUCAAAAUCGAACAGAAAAAAUUUUUGGGUCUGUCUAUGCCCGCCAUUGUGGGUUCGACAAAUUUAGAAUCCCCAAAUUCGCCUCUGAAGUUUGAGUUUUCACCUCCUAAAGUUUUCUUUAUAUUUUUCGCAAUCUUCAAAACUUUCCACAGGCCACGUCUUU
rnacentral:lncRNA from 1 species